rnacentral:lncRNA from 1 species
ACAGUGAUGGUGUGAAGACCUGAUGUCUUCACUGCUCAGAAACAUGUGUAAAUUAAUAGGCUACUGGGAGAAGAUGAAGAAGCUUUUGCAGAAACAUGAGGAUAUUGUGGGAAAUACUGCUGUUAACCAUUUGGAUUAUAUUGCUGUCUGACACAGAGGUUCUGCAGAUAACGUAAGGAACUGUCCAGAUCUUUUCUUGUUACAUGAUUGCUGAAGCAUUUUCCUGGCACAGCAGUAAUGAUUGAUGAACACACUCCAGGUCUGAAAGCUCUUGAGUGAGUAAUGUAUUAGAAUGGUCUCCACUUCUCCAAGGGGAGCACAAGCUUGAAGUGGGGCAUGCUGUAAGUCACCUGACUUAAGGCAUCAGAGUGAAACUGGCAGAUUCAAAGCUUAACUGCUGCAUUAACUUUUGUCUUCUACUUUGAAGUCAGCUCAUUUUAAAUAGGAAAACAUGCAUCUUUCUUCAUUACCACUAACGAAGGCACUGAAGGAUGAGUCGAUGCCAUUUGUUACAGUCUGCUGUUUGCUAAAUAUGGUACCAGAAGCAGAAAAGAGUGAGCAAGGAAGCUCCUUUGGACAAGCGGGUUCUUGAUAUGAAACAUGAAAGAAAGCAGAGUUGAGUGACUUACUCAAACGCCAUGCUGUGGUCUAAGUCAGCUGUAAGCACUUGGAGCAUC